GAUGAACGCUGGCGGUGUGCCUAAUACAUGCAAGUCGAGCGGUAAGGUCUCUUCGGAGAUACACGAGCGGCGGACGGGUGAGUAACGCGUAAGAAUGUACCCCAAAGUGAGGGAUAAGCACCAGAAAUGGUGUCUAAUACCGCAUGUGCUCUUCGGAGUAAAGCUUCGGCGCUUUGGGAACAGCUUGCGUAUGAUUAGCUAGUUGGUAAGGUAAUGGCUUACCAAGGCGACGAUCAUUAGCGGGUCUGAGAGGAUGAUCCGCCACACUGGGACUGAGACACGGCCCAGACUCCUACGGGAGGCAGCAGUAGGGAAUUUUCCACAAUGGGGGCAACCCUGAUGGAGCAACACCGCGUGCAGGAUGAAGGCCUUCGGGUUGUAAACUGCUUUUGUCUGUGACGAAUAUGACGGUAGCAGACGAAUAAGGAUCGGCUAACUACGUGCCAGCAGCCGCCGCAG
rnacentral:rRNA from 1 species